UUUGAACGCUGGCGGCAGGCUUAACACAUGCAAGUCGAGCGGAGAUGAGGUGCUUGCACCUUAUCUUAGCGGCGGACGGGUGAGUAAUGCUUAGGAAUCUGCCUAUUAGUGGGGGACAACAUUCCGAAAGGAAUGCUAAUACCGCAUACGUCCUACGGGAGAAAGCAGGGGAUCUUCGGACCUUGCGCUAAUAGAUGAGCCUAAGUCGGAUUAGCUAGUUGGUGGGGUAAAGGCCUACCAAGGCGACGAUCUGUAGCGGGUCUGAGAGGAUGACCCGCCACACUGGGACUGAGACACGGCCCAGACUCCUACGGGAGGCAGCAGUGGGGAAUAUUGGACAAUGGGGGGAACCCUGAUCCAGCCAUGCCGCGUGUGUGAAGAAGGCCUUAUGGUUGUAAAGCACUUUAAGCGAGGAGGAGGCUACUGAGACUAAUACUCUUGGAUAGUGGACGUUACUCGCAGAAUAAGCACCGGCUAACUCUGUGCCAGCCGCCGCGGUAAAAC
rnacentral:rRNA from 1 species